rnacentral:pre_miRNA from 1 species
UCACCUCCGCAGGCUGGCCGCCCCCCAGGCUGGGCUGGGCGAGUAUCUCUUCGAAAGGCUCACCCUCAAGCUCGAUUAGGAGC